rnacentral:lncRNA from 1 species
CCUAAUGCUGAUUGCAUGAAAAAACUCAGUUUAGGGUUUAAAACCCUAAUGCUGGCUGAAUGGAAAAAGUUCAGUUUAGGGUUUAAAACCCUAAUACUGACUAAAGGAAAAAUUCAGUUUAGGGUUUAAGACCCUAAUGCUGAUUGCAUGGAAAAGCUCAGUUCAGGGUUUAAAACCCUAAUGCUGGCUGAAUGGAAAAAUUCAGUUUAGGGUUUAAAACCCUAAUGCUGAUUGCAUGGAAAAACUCAGCUUAGGGUUUAAAACCCUAAUGCUGGCAGAAUGGAAAAAGUUCAGUUUAGGGUUUAAAACCCUAAUGCUGACUAAAGGAAAAAGUUCAGUUUAGGGUUUUAAAACCCUAAUGCUGACUGAAAUGAAAAAAUUCAGUUUAGGGUUUAAAACCCUAAUGCUGAUUGCAUGGAAAAGCUCAGUUUAGGGUUUAAAACCCUAAUGCUGACUGAAAAGGAAAAUAGUUCAGUUUAGGGUUUAAAACCCUAAUGCUGACUAAAAGGAAAAUUCAGUUUAGGGUUUAAAACCCUAAUGUUGAUUGCAUGGAAAAGCUCAGUUUAGGGUUUAAAACCCUAAUGCUGGCUGAAUGGAAAAAUUCAGUUUAGGGUUUAAAACCCUAAUGCUGAUUGCAUGGAAAAACUCAGUUUAGGGUUUAAAACCCUAAUGCUGGCUGAAUGAAAAAGUUCAGUUUAGGGUUUAAAACCCUAAUGCUGACUGGAAUGAAAAUCUCAGUUUAGGGUUUAAAACCCUAAUGCUGAUUGCAUGGAAAAGCUCAGUUUAGGGUUUAAAACCCUAAUGCUGGCUGAAUGGAAAAAGUUCAGUUUAGGGUUUAAAACCCUAAGCUGACUAAAGGAAAAAUUCAGUUUAGGGUUUAAAACCCUAAUGCUGACUAAAGGAAAAAUUAAGUUUAGGGUUUAAAACCCUAAUACUGACUGGCUGGGGACAAAAUUCGAGAACAACAACUGACCUCUUUUUUUUUUUUGAAUUUUCUUGUUUUAGAAGAAGAUAAAAGGGAGUUUCGUGGAAACUUACCUUUCGAGUGAAUUCCUUAUUGCCAAAAUAUUUCUUGUACCCAUGUACCUUCUUCUUUGGGCGACACCUGCUUCUUGCGCGGUUGUCUUGGAUCAUACCUGUUUCAACUUUUCAGACAAAGAAUAAUUGUUAGUUCGGAAAUGACGGUCGGUUCGGUGACCUUGAUCGUUCCCGGUUGCUUUGUUGCGUCUUCAUUUCUGUUGCGAAAUCCCGCCAUUGAUUUGAUUCAUAUGUCGAAACCCUUUAGACU